rnacentral:hammerhead_ribozyme from 1 species
GUCCAGCUGACGAGCCCCAAAUGGGACGAAACUCGAGUUCUGUAU